rfam:Grosmannia clavigera kw1407 unplaced genomic scaffold GCSC_108, whole genome shotgun sequence.
UCUCUUGUAGUAUAGUGGUCAGUAUACGGGCUUGUCACGCCCGGGACCCGGGUUCAAUUCCCGGCGAGAGAG